CGCGAGCACCCGUGCAGAACAGACCAGUGAUGCAUCCCGCCCAGCGCACAUCGCAGGCAGUGGGCCUUGCACCAUGCUUCGGAGGAAAAGGUGGACGUCCCCUCACAAUUCAACCCAUCAGGUGGUCAAUAUUAUACUGUGGGGACAAGCUCUGCAUUCCUGACCUCCUCUGUCACGCAUGCCAAGACAGAAGAUUAAUGACCCCUGGAAGGACCAGAAUAGAAGUGGUUCCAGCAAAUAUCAGUAUUCCUCCUUCCCGUACUAUAUGGAUCUGUACCUUAGCACAGACCAAAGCCACUUCUGAAACUUCCUAGAAGUGCUAUCCAGAAGUAUCAAAAUCCUCAUGCCAGGCUGCACUGUCAAUGCAAUGUGCUCCCAUCUCCCUUCAGUGCUCUGGAGAGCUUUGUCCCUCUUCUUCAUGGUUAGCAUGCCGAUGCCUUGUCUGACUCACAUGUCCUGACAGAGCCAUGGUGAAGUGUACUUCAUGAUGGUUAAGGAAGAAUUGUACUUCAUGAUGGUUAAGGAAGAAUAACCACCAUCUGCAACCACCACACAUCCACAGCACUUUACCCUGACCAUUUCUAUAGGCUCUUUGUCUCUUAAGCUGCUGAAGAGAUGAAUAUCUCAGGUCCAUCCAAGAUGGGCAGCUGAGAGGUUGAUGUAUCCUAUCAUGGCCAUGCUGUGGAAAGGCUCAAGACUAGGAAUAAAACGUUGUAUAUGAAGGCAACAAAACAGACUGUCUAAUGUGAGCUGUCUGCUGUUAACCAGUGCACAAGGAGCCUGAACGCAAGGACCAAUGGUCAGCCUCAGUGAGAAGUGCACUGGGAAAAGCCAACGUUUGAGCCCACUGAACAGCCUCCAUCCCUGGUUUCUCCUGGCAGAGAGAGUUAAACGCAGCUGAGUUAUACUGUCUCUCUGCCCCUCUCAGACUGCUGCUCCUGUCCACACAACAGCACUACAGGAUGUACCGUGAUGAUGCAGUUUUCCAAAGUGAUCGUGUUUGGAUUGCCACAUUUCCAUUGCUCUCGACUCCAGUCAACUCAACUUUCAAGCUGGAUACUUCAAUGUGUGAACAUGCAAUGGGUCACAAAAUUCAGGCUUAAGAUGCCUCAAGGCUGUCUCUUCUAACAGAGACUCGGGGAAAUGGAGUGAGGGCCACAGAAAACUUUGUGAAGCAACUACAGAAGUUUUCAGUGCCUGAUAGCUCAAGGGGGAGUUUAACAGAAAGUUAAGGCUUCCAAUGUGCAUCUCCACCUCGGUGAUGUUUACCUGAACAAUACGGUUCUGAGAAGACACCCUCCUGUUUCCUGAUGAGCUGUCAUCAGCUAUAUCACUUUCCAGCAGGUAAUCGAAUUUGAGUAGAUGUCUUGCUCAGUAUCUGAAUACGCUCUUUCUCCUCCAGCUAGGAGUAAAAUUCUCUAACAAGGAUCAACGGUCUAGACCAAAGCUGUUUAUUGACCUUCUGCUUGCACAGCAAUCCCUUCAAUUUCUUAACUAUCAUGCAGACUCUCGGGAGGCAAGGAAAGGUACAUUUCCCUUUUCUUAUCAGAUGUCACAGUGGUACCCUGCCACUGUGAGUGGUACCCCAUUUUGGUGUCUGGGUGACACAGGCCACACUGUGGGACAUUCUGUCCUCCACUGGCUCACACUUCUGCUUGGAUUCUUGUAAGAAAGAGCAGAAAAGAAACAAGUCUUGAGAUUUCCCUCAUCCAGGGAUAUCAGGGACACCAUAGCUCACUGCAAGCACCCUUGGACAAGUCUGCUCUACCGUGUAGUUUUAGCCCACCUACAGCUCAGGAGGCUCAGACUGGGUCUGGUAGGGGUGACUAUCCCCGUCCUGAAAUUUUAAGCAGUCCUGUGCUUGGUCCCAGAGUGCCAGUAAAAAAGAAAUAUUUGAGCUAAAUUUUAAUUCAAGUUCUCUUCAACCAUUUGUUUUAUCAAAGCUGUGAGGCAUCAAGCUUUCAUUGUCUCCAGCCAAGAGAGAAUGUAAAAUGGCCCCAACAGGUGCUGGGAAGAAGCAUUUCAGAAUCAGCUCAUAACUCAGCAGACACAAAGUAAAUGUAUUCAAUAAAUACUUUAUUUUGACACAUAGUACGCAUUCGUACUUUAAGCAAAUACUAUAGCCAAAGGGAUGCUUACAAAGAGAUUGACACAAAAGAAAUAGCAAAGCAUAAAAUUAUCAUUUUCCUGAACAGAGAGAUUUUUGUACUUAGAAUAAUUUUUAUAUUCCUUAUUGAAUGCCAUUCAUGUGCUCUGUACAGCUGAGAAUCCAUAGCCAGCCUUGGGAUAAAUAUUUUCAGAGUCAUUUAAGAAUUUGGAAACUAAGGCCCAUUGACAGUCAGUAGAUAUUAGGUGCUUUUGAUGGUGUUACCUGUCUUCUGCAGUCCACAGGGCUCACUGUCUAAACCCUUGAGGUCAUUAAGAGACUUUCCAUUUAGUUCAAUGGUUCUACGGUAGUCCUGCAAAGUGCUGUGACCUCUCUAGGAGGAGGCAGGAACCUUUCUGGAACAAGAGAUUCAUUUGGAAUAGGAGAGAGAGUUUAAUUAGGGUAAUACAAGGUGUUUUUAAGUAGGCAACACUCACUGCUGCAAUGCAAACAGCAGAGACUAGAAUAGUGUUUAACAUGUAUUUUGACCUUUCAAGUGAACGACAAAGAAAACCAGUGAAACCAACAACCCCCAUUUGAUUCAAACUGCUGCAGUCUUCACUCACACCUUAGUUAGGGAAAACUCCAGUAAUCUUUGGCAAACCUGAAGCAUUCAGUCAAGAUUAGCAAGGAAAAAAAAAAAAAAAAAAAAAAUGACUCACCUUGUUCUCUUCUGUCUACUCAAAUUUGAAAGAAUCUGGGCUGCUUGUUGUUAUGAAACCCAACCUUGUGUGGAUUCCAAGCUGAUGAGCAUGAGUGUCUGAAAAUAUCAGAAAACUGUGGUUUAGCAAGAGAAAGAGAGAGUGAGUGGAGGAGCCAUCCUGUUGAUUUUGGAAGGAGUGGCAAAAGUUCCACUGACUUCAGCUGGGUACGAGCCAGGCCCACCGGGCAUAAAACUCCACUUGGCAUCUCUUCCAUCUUCCACACACAAUACUGACAGGGGUCCUACAGACAAAAUCUAAUUGAUUGUGGCACUCAGACAUCACCCCAAAAUUGUUCCUUUGUGGCAGAAUUUAUCCCCAUGUAAAGAUUCAGCAUGAAUAGGACUAUGAGAGACUUGGAUGGUGCAUAAACCAUGUUUUGUUCCUCUGCAUAAUUGAAUUCCACCCUUGGAGAAUACGCAAGGAAGUCUGCUUCUAAAUGGUUAGUUUUCUGUUACAACACAUGAUGGAUGCACGUUUUCAAAGUAUUUUAAAGGCAUGUAUGCAUUAUACUAAAGCAAGGUGUUAGUUCGAUGGUGCUGGGAAAUGAAACCUUGGAUUUAGCCAGAGAUAAGAAAUAACCCUUUAAUUAUUUUCAUAAAAUCUUCGGUUGAAACACAGAUGCAGCAGGAUCCUGUGGCUUCAUCAGCCCCCGACACCACAACUGUCUCCUAACAGCCUUUCAGAGUUUAAUACAGAAGAUGAAGAUCAACUGGAUGUGAAUAUGGAGCUCCAUGUGCUGAGAAACGGUGAAUGCUGAGCCAGUGCUAGCAUCCUUGUCGUAUUAUCUCAGCAUCCACAGACAGUGAGAAAAUGAGGGCUUCUAGAAGGUAAUUCACCUGAGGAAUAUGACCUUUAUCUUAUUACUAUGCUAAAAUAUGACUUCACCGUACAUAAAGUGGACUAGGACAAUUGGCAUACCUAUUGAUAAUGAGCCAUCAUGAUACUGAAACACUUGAAUGUUGUAGAUUAUUAUUCUCCUCUUCGUUUCACACACACACACACCUGUUCAGAAUGAAAAUUGGCUAGCUAUACAUUUACUAAAUUUCUCCAAUAACACUGAAGUUUUGUAGAAUAAAGCAAUGAGUUCCAGUGGCAACAUAUGUGCUCAGCUCUUGCCAUGAGAUCGAAAGCAGACAAUCCCUACAGACCCCAGUGUGGGGAUGACAGCCUGACAAAAUCACACCCCAUACUUACUUUCGUGUCACUGUAAAAGCUCUGAGUAAAGCUGGAGAAUAAAAGAGAUCAAAGCAUUUUAAAUAAGCAUUGGUAUGCUAACAAAAGCUGCACUGAGGUCUCACCAGCUGGGUCUUGUCUUGGGAAGAUGCUGAAUGGUCUUAAUGGGGAAGGUAGCAACCACACAAUUUUCUUGGUGUCACAGAUGAGCCAAAAUGCAACAAUACCCUUGGAGAAAGUGCAUUAUUAUUCACAGUAAUGGGAAAAUGCCCCAAAGUAUCUGGGUCAUUUCAUUAAACCACUGCAGUCAAUUACAUAAAAAACUACUUUGGGGGAAGGAUUCUAUACCUAUUACUGGACUUAAACCGUAAAGGAGUACGGAUGUGAAUGAAUUAAGUUUUCCUUUGUAUAAAAGCACUACUGAUGUUGUGUUCAGCAUAAGGAAAAAUUCUGAAACAAGAUAAGUAAAAAAAAUAAUCUAAUGGGAAAAACAAUGGGAGCAUCAACCGUCAGAGAGUGGGCAGAGUGAAAAAACAACGCAGAGAAAAGAUUAAAAGAGAAGCAAAGGUGGUAAAGAAGAAGAUAAACGAAGUGCCCCACAUUCCAAUCUGACUGUGCCUUGGAGGAUAAGGGGUAUUCCAGCCUUUCAGGAGAUGGCAGAACAACUCAGCAGAAAACUAAACACAGAAGCAGUCACCAAGACUUUUUCUCCUGUGGGCCAUGUUUAUAAUCAGAAGUCAAAACAAGUUAAUAUAAAGGCAACAAUGACAAAAGAAGUACAAACAAAAAUCCCUAGCUUACAACCACCUUCCUCAGAAGCAGAGUUUCAAUGCACAGUGUCAUUCCUUCACUCUCAUUUUCCUAGAAGUUAUUUUCCUAUAGGACUCUGGACAGAUUGGUCCUAACCUGAACUUCAAAGGCGAGGUGCUCGCUCCCUAGCCAUUCUGCUAUUAGGAGCUGUGCAGGUUCAUAGCCUCCCAGGCACACACUGUGUCUAAGUGUUGAAUGAUUUAGAGGCACUGAUGUUCAAAGCCGUUCAGCCAGCCACCAGUGAAACAAGGCUGGCCCACCUCGCACCAUUUCGAGGCCAUUGCUGCCAGUUCCUUUGGAUUAGCAGCAACACUUCCCUCAGAGAAUUAAUAAUUGUAAAACAUCUGGAGUUACUGAAACUAGCAGAUAGCUAAAAUGAUUCUUGUCGUAGCUGCCAGUAUCUUUUUUCCAGUCACAGCUGAUAUCCAGUAGAUCAGUCCACAUUCCAUGUUCAUAUGUUGCAUAUUUUAACGGUGUUUGAUUGUUUCCCCUGCCCUAUUUUGGAAACAAGAUAAAACAUUCCUGAAAGGGGGUCUCCAAUUAAAUGUUCAAAUCUGUAAGGGAUAGAUGUUGUAAUACUCGUGCUGUUUCUUAUGCUGAACAAUAAUUUAGGAAAAACCGUUGUAUUAGGGUGUGUUCAUCACCGUGUGCAUGGGAAGAACCUCUCAAACAUACCGUAUGAGUGUACAUUUUCUGUAACUUACCCCUGGCAAUAACCUGUGUUCAGACAUCCAUGCUUACCCCAUCUCCAUGUAUUUAGCCGUUUCUGCUUAUAAACUUGUAUAAUGCGUAUAAUGAA